rnacentral:rRNA from 1 species
GACGAACGCUGGCGGCGUGCUUAACACAUGCAAGUCGAACGGUAAGGCCUUCGGGUACACGAGUGGCGAACGGGUGAGUAACACGUGGGUGAUCUGCCCCCUACUCUGGGAUAAGGCUGGGAAACUGGGUCUAAUACUGGAUAUGACCAACUUCUGCAUGGUUGUUGGUGGAAAGUUUUUUCGGUAGGGGAUGAGCCCGCGGCCUAUCAGCUUGUUGGUGGGGUAAUGGCCUACCAAGGCGACGACGGGUAGCCGGCCUGAGAGGGCGACCGGCCACACUGGGACUGAGACACGGCCCAGACUCCUACGGGAGGCAGCAGUGGGGAAUAUUGCACAAUGGGCGAAAGCCUGAUGCAGCGACGCCGCGUGGGGGAUGACGGCCUUCGGGUUGUAAACCCCUUUCAGUCGGGACGAAGCGAGAGUGACGGUACCGAUAGAAGAAGCACCGGCCAACUACGUGCCAGCAGCCGCGGUAAAAC